rnacentral:rRNA from 1 species
AGAGUUUGAUCCUGGCUCAGAUUGAACGCUGGCGGCAUGCCUUACACAUGCAAGUCGAACGGCAGCACGAGAGCUUGCUCUUGGUGGCGAGUGGCGAACGGGUGAGUAAUAUAUCGGAACGUACCCUAGAGUGGGGGAUAACGUAGCGAAAGUUACGCUAAUACCGCAUACGAUCUACGGAUGAAAGUGGGGGAUCGCAAGACCUCAUGCUCAUGGAGCGGCCGAUAUCUGAUUAGCUAGUUGGUGGGGUAAAAGCUCACCAAGGCGACGAUCAGUAGCUGGUCUGAGAGGACGACCAGCCACACUGGAACUGAGACACGGUCCAGACUCCUACGGGAGGCAGCAGUGGGGAAUUUUGGACAAUGGGCGCAAGCCUGAUCCAGCAAUGCCGCGUGAGUGAAGAAGGCCUUCGGGUUGUAAAGCUCUUUUGUCAGGGAAGAAACGGUGGACUCUAAUACAGAUCACUAAUGACGGUACCUGAAGAAUAAGCACCGGCUAACUACGUGCCAGCAGCCGCGGUAAUACGUAGGGUGCAAGCGUUAAUCGGAAUUACUGGGCGUAAAGCGUGCGCAGGCGGUUGUGCAAGACAGAUGUGAAAUCCCCGGGCUCAACCUGGGAAUUGCAUUUGUGACUGCACGGCUAGAGUGUGUCAGAGGGGGGUAGAAUUCCACGUGUAGCAGUGAAACGCGUAGAGAUGUGGAGGAAUACCGAUGGCGAAGGCAGCCCCCUGGGAUAACACUGACGCUCAUGCACGAAAGCGUGGGGAGCAAACAGGAUUAGAUACCCUGGUAGUCCACGCCCUAAACGAUGUCUACUAGUUGUCGGGUCUUAAUUGACUUGGUAACGCAGCUAACGCGUGAAGUAGACCGCCUGGGGAGUACGGUCGCAAGAUUAAAACUCAAAGGAAUUGACGGGGACCCGCACAAGCGGUGGAUGAUGUGGAUUAAUUCGAUGCAACGCGAAAAACCUUACCUACCCUUGACAUGUCUGGAAUCCUUGAGAGAUCAGGGAGUGCUCGAAAGAGAAUCAGAACACAGGUGCUGCAUGGCUGUCGUCAGCUCGUGUCGUGAGAUGUUGGGUUAAGUCCCGCAACGAGCGCAACCCUUGUCAUUAGUUGCUACGAAAGGGCACUCUAAUGAGACUGCCGGUGACAAACCGGAGGAAGGUGGGGAUGACGUCAAGUCCUCAUGGCCCUUAUGGGUAGGGCUUCACACGUCAUACAAUGGUACAUACAGAGGGCCGCCAACCCGCGAGGGGGAGCUAAUCCCAGAAAGUGUAUCGUAGUCCGGAUUGUAGUCUGCAACUCGACUACAUGAAGUUGGAAUCGCUAGUAAUCGCGGAUCAGCAUGUCGCGGUGAAUACGUUCCCGGGUCUUGUACACACCGCCCGUCACACCAUGGGAGCGGGUUUCACCAGAAGUGGGUAGCCUAACCGCAAGGAGGGCGCUCACCACGGUGGGAUUCGUGACUGGGGUGAAGUCGUAACAAGGUA